UGAUUCCCUGGCUUUCAGAGUUGCUGAUGAAGAGGUGAUGUUACUGUAUCUGGACUGCUCAUCUGUGGCUGCACCAGAAUAUGGCCCACAUUGCUCUUCCGUUCCCAGCAUCAUCCCUUGCCCAUCCUCAGCGGUGAGCAGGAUGGGAUGGCUGACCUCGGAUCUGUGCUGCAGCCAGGCAGGACCUGACCUUGUCCUCUUCCUCAGCGCUGAGAUUUAACUUUUGUUGUUAUUUCUCCGACUGUUAAAAAUUUGUAUAGCUUUUAAUAAAUUGGCCAUUCUGACAAGU